rnacentral:lncRNA from 13 species
ACUCGAAAGGUAGGUAAUCAACACAAGUUGAAGACACUUCACAAGGAGAAGACUCGUCGCAAGGAGAAGACUCGUCGCAAGGAGAAGACUCGUCGCAAGGAGAAGACUCGUCGCAAGGACAGGAAUCGACAUAAGGAGAGGACUCGACAGGUAGGUAAUCGACACAAGGAGAAGACUCUACACGAGAGGACGCGAAAGGUAGGUAAUCAGCACAAGUUGAAGACACUUCACAAGGACAGGACUCGACAUAAGGAGAGGACUCGACACGAGUGGACUCGACAGGUAGGUAAUCGACACAAGUAGAAGACUCUUCACAAGGACAGGACUCGUCGCAAGCACAGGACUCGUUAGAUAGGUAAUCUACGCAAGGAGAAGACUCUUACGCAAGGAGAAGACUGUACGCAAGGAGAAGACUGUACGCAAGGAGAAGACUGUACGCAAGGAGAAGACUGUACGCAAGGAGAAGACUCUACGCAAGGAGAAGACUCUACGCAAGGAGAAGACUCUACGCAAGGAGAAGACUCUACGCAAGGAGAAGACUCUACGCAAGGAGAAGACUCUACGCAAGGAGAAGACUCUACGCAAGGAGAAGACUUGACAGGUAGGUAAUCGACACAAGAAGAAGAAUCGUCGCAAGGACAGGAAUCGACACAAGGAGAGGACACGAGAGGACUCGAAAGGUAGGUAAUCGACACAAGUAGAAGACUCUUCACAAGGACAGGACUCGACAUAAGGAGAGGACUCGACAGGUAGGUAAUCGACACAAGGAAAAGACUACACAAGGAGAUGACUCAAUGCAAGUAGAAGCCUCUUCGCAAGGACAGGACUUGACACAAGGAGAGGACUCGACCGGUAGGUAAUUGACACAUGGAGAAGACUCGACACGAGAGGACUCGAAAGGUAGGUAAUCGACACAAGAAGACUCGUCACAAGGAGAUGACUCGAUGCUAGAGGACUCGAAAGGUAGGUAAUUCACACAAGACUCGUCGCAAGGAGAGGACUCUACGCAAGGAGAAGACUCUAGGCAAGGAGAAGACUCUACACAAGGACAGGACUCGACAGGUAGGUAAUCGACACAAGAAGACUUCACAACGACAGGACUCGACAUAAGGAGAGGACUCGACGGGUAGGUAAUCGACACAAGUAGAAGACUCUUCACAAGGAGAGGACUCGUCACAAGGAGGACUCGACAGGUAGGUAAUUGACACAUGGAGAAGACUACACAAGGAGAAGACUCGUCGCAAGCACAGGCCUCAAAAGAUAGGUAAUCGACACAAGGAGAAGACUCGUCGCAAGGAGAAGACUCGUCGCAAGGAGAAGACUCGUCGCAAGGAGAA